rnacentral:rRNA from 1 species
UGGGGAAUAUUGCACAAUGGGCGAAAGCCUGAUGCAGCGACGCCGCGUGAGGGAUGACGGCCUUCGGGUUGUAAACCUCUUUCAGCAGGGAAGAAGCGAAAGUGACGGUACCUGCAGAAGAAGCGCCGGCUAACUACGUGCCAGCAGCCGCGGUAAUACGUAGGGCGCAAGCGUUGUCCGGAAUUAUUGGGCGUAAAGAGCUCGUAGGCGGUUAGUCGCGUCUGCUGUGAAAACUCGAGGCUCAACCUCGGGCUUGCAGUGGGUACGGGCUGACUAGAGUGCGGUAGGGGGUGACUGGAAUUCCUGGUGUAGCGGUGGAAUGCGCAGAUAUCAGGAGGAACACCGAUGGCGAAGGCAGGUCACUGGGCCGCAACUGACGCUGAGGAGCGAAAGCAUGGGGAGCGAACAGGAUUAGAUACCCUGGUAGUCCAUGCCGUAAAACGUUGGGCACUAGGUGUGGGGUCCAUUCCAACGGAUUCCGUGCCGCAGCAAACGCAUUAAGUGCCCCCGCCUGGGGAGUACGGCCGCAAGGCUAAAACUCAAAUGAA